AACGUAGGACGCAAGCGUUAUCCGGAGUUACUGGGCGUAAAGGGCGGGCAGGCGGUCUAGCAAGUGGGGUGUGAAAUCUCCCAGCUUAACUGGGAGAGGCCAUUCCAAACUGCUCGACUGGAGGGCAGUAGAGGUAGGCGGAAUUCCGGGUGGAGUGGUGAAAUGCGUAGAGAUCCGGAGGAACACCAGAGGCGAAGGCGGCCUACUGGGCUGCACCUGACGCUGAACCGCGAAAGCUAGGGGAGCGAACGGG
rnacentral:rRNA from 1 species